GACGAACCGUGCGAACGUUGUUCGGAAUCACUGGGCUUAAAGGGCGCGUAGGCGGCUCCGCAAGUCGGGGGUGAAAUCCUCCGGCUCAACCGGAGCAGUGCCUCGAAUACUGGCGGUCUCGAGGGAGGUAGGGGCGUGCGGAACUGUGGGUGGAGCGGUGAAAUGCGUUGAUAUCCACAGGAACUCCGGUGGCGAAGGCGGCACGCUGGACCUUUUCUGACGCUGAGGCGCGAAAGCCAGGGGAGCGAACGGG
rnacentral:rRNA from 1 species